rnacentral:rRNA from 1 species
GUAAAGAGCAUGUAGGCGGCUUAAUAAGUCGAGCGUGAAAAUGCGGGGCUCAACCCCGUAUGGCGCUGGAAACUGUUAGGCUUGAGUGCAGGAGAGGAAAGGGGAAUUCCCAGUGUAGCGGUGAAAUGCGUAGAUAUUGGGAGGAACACCAGUGGCGAAGGCGCCUUUCUGGACUGUGUCUGACGCUGAGAUGCGAAAGCCAGGGUAGCGAACGGGAUUAGAUACCCCGGUAGUCCUGGCCGUAAACGAUGGGUACUAGGUGUAGGAGGUAUCGACCCCUUC